UAACCUACUAAAUAGCCAGGCCCGCAUUCGCGGGUCGCCGGCUUCUUAGAGGGACUAUCGGAUUACAAGUCGAUGGAAGUUUGAGGCAAUAACAGGUCUGUGAUGCCCUUAGAUGUUCUGGGCCGCACGCGCGCUACACUGACAGAGUCAACGAGUACAUUCACCUUGGCCGGAAGGCCCGGGUAAUCUUGUUAAACUCAUGUCGUGCUGGGGAUAGAGCAUUGCAAUUAUCGCUCUUCAACGAGGAAUUCCUAGUAAGCGCGAGUCAUCAGCUCGCGUUGAUUACGUCCCUGCCCUUUGUACACACCGCCCGUCGCU
rnacentral:rRNA from 1 species